rnacentral:rRNA from 1 species
CCUACGGGUGGCAGCAGUGAGGAAUAUUGGUCAAUGGGCGCAAGCCUGAACCAGCCAAGUCGCGUGAGGGAAGACGGUCCUAUGGAUUGUAAACCUCUUUUAUCCGGGAGCAAAACACGCCACGCGUGGCGUUCCGAAAGUACCCGAAGAACAAGCAUCGGCUAACUCCGUGCCAGCAGCCGCGGUAAUACGGAGGAUGCGAGCGUUAUCCGGAUUUAUUGGGUUUAAAGGGGGCGCAGGGGGAAGAUCAAGUCAGCGGUAAAAUUGAGAGGUGAAAUCUCUACGAGCCGUUGAAACUGGUUUUCUUGAGUGAGCUAGAGGUAGGCGGAAUGCGUGGUGUAGCGGUGAAAUGCAUAGAUAUCACGCAGAACUCCGAUUGCGAAGGCAGCAUACCGGCGCUUAACUGACGCUCAUGCACGAAAGUGUGGGGAUCGAACAGGAUUAGAUACCCCUGUAGUC